AUUGCCGCAAUAAAAUUAAAAUUCCAUCCAUUAUUUUAUCUCACGACAUUAAAUCAAUCAUCACCGAUGAUAAAACAUCAUCUGCAAGUCAAACCAAUUAUGAAGUAAUUUUAUUAUGAAACAAGGUGAGUUACUAAUUAAAGAUUUGUUUAAAUUUUCAGCGCCAAACAAUUGCGCAAUUUUAAAUCUCCAAUAAAUUUUAUUAUUCAUAAUUCUUAAAUAAUUUGCACAUUCAUACAAAGAAUAAUGACAAUAAAAAAUAUAACUAUUUAACUAUUUGUCAUUAAUCAUUUUUUAUCCUCACUCAAAACUCUCAUGCACACAUCAUGUGUACAUACAUACACAUAUAUUUAAAUUUACAAUGUCUAUAAAUAUAUUGGAAAAAAAAGUAUGCAAAGUAGUCGGCAUGUAUGUGCGUAUGAAUCAACCAGAGGAGGCUCUGCGCACACAACCUCUAGAAGAGGUAAAGACAACAACGUGGUGAUAUAUGUAAACAACGGGCAAGGUCGGACAGUACAGAGCAGCAUCUCCUGUCAGUAGAUCUCUCCAUACCGAGUCAUACUCGGUGCUCGAUCUGUACCACGGGCUUUCAUCCCCACCUCUUAUUCACAAGAUUAUUAUAGUCCCAAUUACUAGUAUAUCUAUAUUAUAAUUAUAUAUAUAAUUAUUAUUAUUGUUGUUAUUUUUAUUGGCAUCAGAAUGUAAGAGGUGGAAAUUUGUUGCAUUUAAUAAAAUACUCGAGCAUAUAAAUAAUAACAUGUAACAUCUUUAUUAAUUAUUUGACACAUUUCAAAUUUUUAAAUUCAAUUAAAAAUAUUUUUACGGUUUUUUUUAGGAAUUUUUAAUGCAUUCGAAGUAGGGGAGAAAAAAUAAAUAUUUUUGGUAUGACCUAGUUUGAGGUAUAAUUAGAAUUAUUUUUCGUAAUCAAUGAAUUGGUGGGAAAAGGCUGGUAGAGGAAGAAGGAAAAUAAAUAGUGGGCUGAGAUUUAAAGAUUUCCAAAAAUAAAAAUUCUUGAGGAUACUUUUGUGGAUGGGAGAGCCGAAAAUUACAAAAUGUGGAGUAAAAUAAAAAUAGUUUUUAUGUUGUAGAGGUGGGAGUUGUGGGAAGAGGCUACAGGGCGAAAAAAGAUGCCGAUGAUAUAAUUUAGAUGUAUAUUUGGCUGGCGAAUAAGUUGACAUUAUAUAAUAAUAAUAAUAAUAAUAAUUAUAGUAAUAAUAAUAAUAAUGAUAAUAAUUAUGUAAUAUAAUGUAUAGUAUUUACAAAAUAAAUAAUAUUUUAUUGUAGAUAUACAUAAAUAUAAUAGUAAUAUUAAUAUAAUAAUAAUAUUAUAGUUUAGUAAUUGUUGUACAGAGUAGAUGGUGGUUUUAAAUAAAUAAUUUAAUUAUAAGAGUCGGUGUUGCUCGAGUAUUGUAUUCCAAGUUAUCGACGAAGAACAGGUGGAAGUGUCUUGCGUUACAGAUAAGAAGCGCCGCGGUGCCAGAAAACGGAGAGACUGACGAUGCACCGUUGGAAUGUUUUAAAAGUGGAUGAUGUCUUGAUCGCUUGGGUUGACCCAGGUGAGCCGUUUCGUUCUGCUUAAGGGUUACGAAAUAUGUCCCGGAUUCCUGGGCACCUGUUGCUGGUGAGCGAUCAUCUGGGUGGACGUCCGUGUUUAGUUUUUCGGGAGGGUUCCAAGGGUGCAGAGUCAGGUGGGUGAGAACGGGUUCUGGUACCGCGCUGUAGACGAAAAACUCAGGCUUCUGUUCGGCGUCCUCGAUUUAAAUGUCCGUGUACUCGCCCUUCAAAUACUGUGUGUUGUGGAGGUCGUUCGGGCCCGAUGCUCGCUGUGGUGCGCGGAGCAUGAAACGCAUGAGAACGAGCGACACGGAGACAAGGCUAAGAAGGUAUUCUGCGAACGUGUUUGCUGGCAAUACGAUGACUCGUGAUGGUGAGAUGAUAUCUUUAUGAUUGUACGUGGGCUUACGCAUGGGACGUUGACAUUGGACGAAUUGUAAUGUACUGACAAUGCCAUCGGGCGAUUGUACAUUAGUAAAACAUAACUGUCCGCAGGCCCGAUGGAUUGAUGAGAUGGUAAUAUUAUUGUAAUGCUUAGAAGCACUUGCGGUGGACGAUUCCGGGACCGGAUUCGUCGUAUUCUUGUUUUGAGAUCCACAUCUGUUGGAAGGUGGACAGAGAGGCGAGGAUGGAACCUCCGAUCCAUACGGAGUAUUUCCUUUCAGGUGGAGCGAUGAUCUUGAUCUUGAUGGUUGAUGGGGCGAGGGCGGUGAUUUCUUUCUGCAUACGGUCAGCGAUACCUGGGUACAUGGUGGUACCUCCGGAGAGGACGUUGUUGGCGUACAAGUCUUUACGGAUGUCGACGUCACACUUCAUGAUGGAGUUGUAGACAGUUUCGUGGAUACCGCAAGAU